rnacentral:sRNA from 1 species
CAGGAGGAAAUCUCCGGAUCCCCGGUAU